rnacentral:lncRNA from 1 species
UUUUUUUAUCAUUGCUUCAGUUCAAGCAGUCUUCGACCAAACAAUAUUUUAAAAGAUUAUAUAUGAGAUAUGCAAUAAAUAAAUGAUUGAAUAAAAAGCCUGGUAGAGUGAAAUACUCAAUCAGCAAGUGUAUCUUUCUUCAAGAAUACCGAAGUGUUUACUCAAAGUAUAAAAAAAGAGAAGAAGAAUUAGUUCAGUGGGAAAUCUUAAUGUAAGAUCCUAAGUUAAAUCGCUGCCUCAGCAACGAACAUUUCUCCUUUGUACUGAACUUGCUCUCCCUCUUAUAGUCAAUUCCUACUUUGGAACGCGCGCUUGCAGUCAGAGUACUUCUAUUUCACGUCUCCUGAAAUCAAUUGCAACUUUUGCUUGGGUCGGAAACGUAUAAACCAGGAAAUUUAAGGAAAAACCAUUAGCUGUAUUGGACCUUUUGCUGCUGAACAAGCUUGCUUAAAGGAAACCUUUCAUCAACAGUCAAGCUGAGGAUUUUUGACUGCCCUUUUCAGAAAGUCAAGAAUACGUAAGCAUUGCUUGAACAGUUUUUGUUUUUCUUUUGUUGAAAAUGUGCCUAAAGGCUGAUUAAUA